ACCCACCGCCGCCAAUCUACCUACCACUGUCAAUCUAUCUACCACUGUCAAUCUAUCUAUCACUGCUAAUCUAUCGCUGCUAAUCUAUCACUGCUAAUCUAUCACUGCUAAUCUAUUGCUGCUAAUCUAUCACUGCUAAUCUAUCACUGCUAAUCUAUCGCUGCUAAUCUAUUGCUAUCAAUCUAUCUACCACUGUCAAUCUAUCUAUCACUGUCAAUCUAUCUAUCACUGCCAAUCUAUAUAGAGUAAAUCAUGAUUCUAUUUGAUUUCAUUUUAUAAAAUGAGAUCAAAUGAGAUCAGAAUCACUAAUUUAUUAGUAAAAUAUAAUCUGAGACUAGAUUUAUAAUAUAAACAGUAUAAAGUAACUAAUUUGCUAAACACUAUAUGAAAUCAGAACUAAGAUAUCUAAUAAUAAGACUGAGGAAAAAUUUGGUUUCAGUUUCAUGCAUGAUCACACAGCC
rnacentral:sRNA from 2 species